CUCUAGUUUAGAGAUAUUUUGUAUUAUUUACAUCAAUGGGCAUUGUGACGUCAGAAGCGAGAGUUUAUUCGUAUUUCUGAGCAGGGCCGUUGAGGGCGAAGUUGUUUUGGUUCAGGAGCUGAAACACGUUUGUCAAGUCGUGUUGUUUGGUACUGAAGUUCACCGUUAUUUGCCAGUUUACACACAAGCCCAAUGUUGUAAGUAGAAGUCGACCUAAGAUUAUUGAAAUUAAAUGUUUUCUUUCUUGUUGAAACUGUAAGAUAUGAAAAUGGAGGAAUAUGAAUGGGCUAAAUCUGAGUUAGAAAGUUGGAGUUAAUGCACGAAGCUCACGUUGUGCCAGUGUAUGUUGUGUAGCGCAUGAAUAGACAUGCGAGGGUGCUGUUAGUGAAAGUAAACAGUGUUGAGUUAAAUAUGAUGACUGACCUGGUAUUAUAACAGGUUUAAUAAGAAUUUGAGGAAAACUCUGUGUGAUUAUAAUCUAGCUAAUUUGGUGUCUUAUAAUGGCAAUUGGCCGGGUAGACAGAUUUGGGGUAUACUACUAUGACAGAAAGUAGGUCAGGUUAUAGGGGUCAAUGCAGGGUCAAGCUCAUGAAUAUGUAUAGGCUCAUGUAUAUUUCAUGAAGGAGAGUGAAUGUGUAUAUUAUAUACAGCAAGGAUGUAAUAUUAGUUGAUCAGCUUAUCUAUGUUCAUUGGCAUUUAUAUUACGCAAUGCUUAUGACUGUGUUCUGUUUAUUUCAUUAAAGGUUGAACCGCAUUCAUCGUUUGGUAUCAGCACAAAGGGUGUCACUGAGUCUUUUAUACGUCAACGGUGGGACUUUAGUAAAGUGUUAGAGUUAUCGUCAUCAACAGUUCAACAACAAGGGUCCUUUGGAUUGAACGCGUCGCCCUUUCAAGAUGAGUGUUGUAGAGCCCAAGACUUUGCCCGAUGUCAAUCCAGAAGACUCGGUCAGUCAGUGUGGAAGCAUCGUUAAGUCUGCAGGCAGUGCAUCUUCUAGUUCCAGCUCUCGUUUACGUGCCAAGGCCAUGGCAAGAAGUGCAGCAUUGACGGCGGAGGCUGAAGGUUUACGUCGACAGCAAGAGUUGGAUAUCGAGAUGCUCAAGCUGAAACAGAAGAAAAUCCAGAUGGAGCUACAGACCAAGCUGGAUAUCGCCAAGGCUGAAGAGUAUGUUUACAGCAGUCUUUAUGAAGAGGAGAGUUCUUCACAUGUAAGUCGUCAUAACAAAGGAAGUGUUAUUACUAGCGUCAGCCAGCAUAAAGCCGGCCAUCAAGUUCAAGGAGAGGCCCCCUCUAUAGGUCAAGAACUGAAGGACAACAUUCCUUCUCCCAUCCAGUCAGAUCUGAAUGCAUCCAAACCUGCUGGAAAUGAAGGUCAGAUGUUAUCUCACACACAGCAGCGUGUGAACCCACCUACGAUCCAUGGGCCGAAGGAUCUGGAUUCAACAAUCGCCUACCCGGUUCAUGAGGAUUCGGCUCAGACAAAGUCUCUUUCCAAUACCAGUCUCCACAUGAACAAUCAGUUAGAGAUUCAAGUUCAACAGCAGCGUCUGUUAGAGGCCAUAAGUUUGUCGAGUGCAGAGGUUAUGAAGUUUGAUGGCAAUCCUCUUCACUACCAUGAGUUUGUAACAUCUUUCGACAACUUGAUCGGAGGGUCCUCACUUCAGGAAGGGACAAAGCUCAUGAAGCUGUUCCAGUGUUGUACAGAUCAGGUCAAGACCAUCAUCAAGAGCUGCUUGAUGGUGGAACCCUCUUUAGGAUAUAGAAGGGCAAGAAAACUACUAUCUGAACGCUAUGGUAGUAAGUUCAAGAUUGGAGAAGCAUGGAUCUCCAAGGUUGUAAAUGGACCUGCUAUAAGACCUAACGACAUCAAGGGAUUACAGAGCUAUGCAGAUGAGUUGAAAAUCUGUGAGGAGACCCUCAGUGCACUCGAUCUCAUGCAGGAGAUCGGGGGUCAACGUGAACUGGUAAAGAUGGUGGAGAGGCUCCCAUAUUUCCUGAGGAGCAGAUGGUUGAAGAUGGUGAAGGGCAUCCGACACCGAGGAAGAUCACCCGAUUUGUCUGACUUGGUGCAGUUGGUCCUCGAAGCUGCCGAAGAAGUCAAUGACCCAGUGUUUGGAGGGUUAUUCGAUGACCGAAAGAAGGAAGCUCAAGGAUCUAAAGGGGCAGUGUCCCGGGGAGGGAGAUCUUUUUCCUCUCAUGGAAUUAACGUUGGCCAAAAUGACGAGGAAGUAAAGCAAUGCGUAGUUUGCAGUGAAGAACAUGAUCUCUUUUCCUGCAAUCAAUUUAAAGAACUUAAAGUAGAAGAACGUUUCAAGCUAGCAAGAGAUUACCGUCUGUGUUACAAUUGCCUGAAGGCAGGCCACCAAAGCCACAAGUGCUUUCUAAAUCGGACUUGUUCCGUGAAGGGAUGUAAUAGAAAACACACCAGGUUCCUUCAUUUCCCAACUGAAAGAGUGGUACAGAAAGACUCCGAUACAGCGGAGCCACCGGUAGAUGUGCAGACCUCCUUUGCAGAGAGCACCAGUGCUGCCACAAACGUCAAGAUUGCUCUACCUAUUGUUCCGGUAGAGGUCAGAGCUGUUGAUGGAUCUUUGACAGUUCAUACCUUUGCAUUAUUGGACUCUGGAUCAACAAGUUCUUUCUGCACAGAGAAACUAGCUGAAAAACUUGGUGCCAAGGGAAAAAGGAAGAUCUUAUCAAUUUCAACGUUGGAAAAGUCAAGUAGCUUCAUAGAAUGUAAGGCAGUUGGCCUCAAGAUCAGGAAUCCUUCCACCCAUGAAGAAUUAGAGCUGCCAUGCGUAUAUACAAAGAAGGAGAUCAAUGUUAGCAGCAACAAUGUUGCUACCACCACAGAUGUGCAGAAUUGGGAACAUCUUAAGGAUUUGGAAUUUCCCACUACAAGUCAUGAGGUUGAGCUCUUAAUAGGACAGGAUACUCCAGAGGCCUUACAGCCAUUAGAAGUUAGAUUCGGUCCACCAAGGGAAGUGUAUGCCGUACGCACAGUGUUGGGAUGGACUCUGAAUGGGCCAGUAAAUCAGCAGCAGCAUCCAAGCAAUCAACCAUCAUCCCAUUUCAUUGCUCAAGAUAUGGUAUUGGAUGAACAGGUAACCAAGUUCUGGAAGAUGGAAGGCAUGGAGCAUCUAGCUGAUAACUCGAAGGGCAUGUCGGUGGAGGACAAGAGAGCAUUACAAGUAUGGAGAGACUCCAUACAGGAGGUAGAUGGGCACUACCAGCUGUCCAUACCUUUCAGGGAGAGAAAGUCCUGCCUUCCUAAUAACCGUCACUUAGCAGAGCAAAGGCUACAGUCUCUUAAGAGGAGAUUGGUGAGAGAUGGGAAACUGCACGCCAAAUAUGCUGAUGUCAUGACCCAACUUCUCGAUAAGAAGUAUGCGGAAGAAGUCCCUCAAGAUUGUAAGCCUGACAGUGGUAAUGUCUGGUACCUUCCUCACCAUCCAGUGAUGACAGACAAGAAGCCGGACAAGGUUAGAAUUGUCUUUGAUUGUGCCUCUAAGUGCCAAGGAGUGUCUCUGAAUGACGUAGUGCUACAGGGGCCGGACCUUACUAAUAACCUGCUAGGAGUACUUGUUCGAUUCCGUCAGCAACCAGUGGCACUCAUGGCGGACAUUGAGGGAAUGUUUCAUCAAGUGAGAGUCCCCCUAACUGAGAGAGACGUCAUGAGAUUCCUGUGGUGGCCAGGAGGUGACUUGGAGAGACAGCCCAAAAUGUACCGAAUGUGUGUUCAUCUCUUUGGCGGUACAUGGAGCCCAAGUUGUUGUAACUUUGCCCUCCAUCAAACAGCUGCAGACCAUCCAGAUGCCUUCACUCCAGAAGCAGGAAGAGCGAUACAUAGAAGCUUCUAUGUUGAUGAUUGUCUGGUCUCGGUGAACAACGAGGAGAAUGCCGUGAGACUGGCAGCUAGCCUGAAAGAAGGCCUGACGAAAGGAGGCUUCAACUUGACCAAGUGGCUGAGCAACAGACCAAGGGUCUUAGAGUCUGUACCCAAAGAAGAUCGAUCGAAAAAUGCUAAAGGGCUAGACCUCACUCAUGAUGCCCUUCCUGUUGAAAGGGCCCUAGGCAUUACUUGGGAUGUAGAGAUGGAUAGCUUCCUGUACAAGUUCACCCCCAGAGACAAGCCUCGAACUCGACGUGGGCUGCUGAGUGUGAUAUCUUCAGUGUACGACCCUCUUGGCUAUGCCAGCCCAUUUGUCUUGAAGGCAAAAAUGAUACUGCAAGAACUAACGAGAAUGAAUCUUGGAUGGGACGACAAGAUUCCAGACGCAGAAAGACGCCAAUGGGAUGAGUGGAUUGAUGAGUUACCCAAGAUGGCAGAUUUCAAGGUGAAUAGAUGCAUCAAGCCUCAUGACUUUGGAGAAGUAACUGAGUAUGAGUUACAUCAUUUCUCAGAUGCAUCGGAGAGGGCGUAUGGAUCAGCAUCAUACAUAGUAAUGAAGAAUGGUGAUGGCCUGGCACAUAGCAGCCUGCUAGUUGCAAAGUCGCAUCUCACACCAAUAAAGAGAGUAACCAUUCCCCGACUAGAGCUUAUGGCAGCGACUCUCUCAGUAAAGCUGGACUCAAUGCUGAGAAGGGAAUUAGAGCUACCAAUCGUGCGGUCAGUAUUCUGGACUGACAGCACGAUUGUGCUGCAGUACAUUAGAAACGAAGAAAAAAGGUUUAACACCUUCGUCGCAAAUAGGAUAGCGGUCAUCCGAGACCACUCAGAACCCAGUCAGUGGCACCAUGUUGAUACUAGCUCCAAUCCAGCAGAUGAUGUGUCAAGGGGUAUUGGGGCAGAAGACUUGAAAACUAACAUCAGGUGGCUGGUUGGACCGGAGUUCAUUUGCCAAGCUGAGAGUAGUUGGCCACAGGACCCAACUACAACUGCACCCAUUGAUGAGAAUGACCCAGAAGUUAAACAGAAGAAGGGUAUUCAAGUGUUUAGUACUGAAGCAGAUCAAUCCAAUGCUGUGGACCGGCUGCUAGAGCACUACUCCUCAUGGUACAGAUUAAAGAAAGCAGUUGCAUGGGUCUUGCGAGUGAGACAGCAUUUGCAGAGCAAGGUUCAAGGGAACACCUGUGAUGUCAAAGGGCCACUUAGGACAGGUGAUAUUGCUGUAGCUGAAGAAGCAGUUAUUCGGUACGUUCAGCGUCAGAGCUACACUGCAGAGUACAAGGUGUUACAGCAUAAUUUGACUGCAGGAGGAACGUCGCCCUCUCGCAUCGCAAAGUCCAGUCCACUCUCGAAGCUAAAUGUCAAAUUCACAGGCAAGGGUCUAAUGCAUGUCGGAGGACGUCUAAGAAAUGCACCGUUAGAGGAACAGGCAAAACACCCUAUGAUCCUGCCAUAUAAUCAUCAUGUUGUACAGCUAUUAGUGAGACAUUAUCACAUUUUGUCUGGUCAUUCAGGCAAGGAGUACGUACUAUCUCUAAUCAGGCAACGAUACUGGAUAGUCAGAGGAAGACCAACAGUCCGUAAAGUCCUGAAUGAAUGUUUCACAUGUAAACGUCAAGCAGCAGCUCCAGUGGGACAGAAAAUGGCUGAUCUACCUGCAGACAGGGUGACACCAGGAAAACCACCCUUUAGCCACGUUGGAGUUGAUUGUUUUGGGCCGUUCUUUGUAAAGCAGGGUAGAAGUCGGCUAAAGAGGUACGGCUGUAUUUUCACGUGCCUAGUCAUACGAGCGGUCCAUAUUGAGAUCCUACAUACCAUGAACACAGACUCAUUUUUGAACGCCUUGGAGAGAUUCAUCUCCCGUAGAGGAAGGCCAGAGCUGAUCAGAUGUGACAAUGGCACCAACUUCGUAGGUGCUGAGCGUGAGCUGAGAGAAGGAGGAAAACGGUGGAAUCAGCAGAAAAUCCAUGCGAAUCUCCUCCAAAGGGGAAUCGAUUGGCGAUUCAACACCCCAACAGCAUCUCAUGCAGGAGGUGCAUGGGAAAGACAGAUACGGACAACAAGAAAAGUGAUGAAUGGUGUUAUGAAGCUGCAAGUACUUGACGAUGAGGGUCUACCUACGCUGAUGUGCAAGGUAGAAUCGAUCAUCAACGGACGGCCGCUCACGGUGGUGUCUACAGACAUGAGGGAUCCAGAACCACUGACAGCAAACCACUUGCUACUGAUGAGGCCCAAUGCUGAGCUACCACCAGGUGUGUUUGACCAGAGCGACCUCUACUCGCGUAAAAGGUGGAGACAAGUGCAACAUAUGGCCGACGUGUUCUGGAAGAGAUGGAUGAAAGAGUACCUGCCAACAUUGCAGCAGCGUCAGAAGUGGCUGGAUGAAAAUAGAAAUAUCGCUGUGGACGACGUAGUCCUCAUCAUGGAUGACAUGCCGCGUAACAAAUGGAUGUUGGGUAGAGUCAUCGAGAUCUAUCCAAGCAAGGAUAAGCUGGUUCGUUCAGCAAAGGUGAAAACAGUCACAGGAGCCUUGACGCGACCUGUUCAGAAAUUGUGCUUGCUUGAAUCCGUGGAAAAGUCACAAGUGUAAGGUCUAAGUCAAAUGCGAAAGUUUGUUGAUUUUUCGAUGAUAUGAAUACCACAAGAUUGCCUGGAGCAUGUGAUACCAAAGUACCAGAAAAUUACGCAAAAUUAUAUUUGUGAAGCAAGAAGUAUUAUAUUUGUUUUGAAAUGAGAAAUAGUUUCUACUACGAAUGUGAUCAUUCACUAAAUUCUCAUAGUUCAACGUUCAAAUCCGGAUGAGGGAUAUUUUUUACGCGAAAUUAUAUUUGUGAAGCAAGAAGUCUCAUAUUUGUUUGAAAUGAGAAAUAGUUCCUACUACGAAUGUGACCAUUCACUAAGUUCUCAUAGUCGUUCAACGUUCAAAUCCGGAUGAGGGAUAUUUGUUCGCGUAUUUGACCUUGGAUCAGAAGAAUUUCGCGUAUUUGACCUGGGAUCAGAAAAAUUUCGCGUAUUUGACCUUGGAUCAAUGUGUUAUUUUCGCGUUUCACCUGCAAUCGUCUAGCCUUUUGCGUAUAUAUCGCUGACCAGAUAGACAAUGUCAUACAAGUUCAGAACGUUUCAUUGUGAAGCUGAAUGGUGUACAUUUAUCACAGCGAAGAGAUAAUUUAGAAAUCUCAGAACUUUCAGACCCUGUGACCUUUAUGAUAAACUUUGAUCUGAACUCGCAGAACUUGCAGACUAUCUUCAGCAUCUUGUAAACUUUGUAUUUUGCUUGUGUACAUCCUUUCAUAUUUCCAUGAAUUCAUCCAUGUGUGAAAAUGCAUUCAAUGAUAAAGGAAAGUUUAGCACUCAAAGAUUCGCAAUUGUCCAAAUAAAUGAUGCCUUUUGUGCGUGUGUCAGUCAAAGGGUUUAAUUGGAAUUGACAUUAUUUACAAUAUUUAAAGCACCUUUGGCAGUACAGUACAGUAUAGCGAGAGAAUUUGGAGAUUGAAUGCCUUUUCAUUAUUUCUUGACAUUUAAUAGUGAUGUCUUGAUAUAAAUUAUUUUUGCAUUGUCACGUUGCACAUUCAGAUAGUGAGCACUUUAUGUGUGCAUUGAAUCAGAUAUUUCACAAGGAGACUAUGCAAGUAUGCAGAUUAUAUAGAAGUGUCAUUGUUUCAUGUUGACGGUGCUCAGCUAAGAAAUUGUCGGUUUAUGUAAAAAAUCAUUUCAGGUUGUAUUGAUGAGUAAUCAUAUUUUCAUACAGUUUGACAUUUUUGUAGUUGAAUCAGACAGAUUCCCUUUAACCACGCUAUUUGUCAGUAAUAGAGUUAUGUAAAGGGUUUUUAUAUUACCGGUAAGAAGAAGUAUUGGAUAUUGCAGACAAAUUAUAACAUUUUGAGGCUAGAAUUUAAAAUCCUGGAUUUAAAGGUGUAAAAUCAUUUCAAGGAAAGUACGACAUUUAUGAUUGUCGUGAAUUUUGAUUUAGAUUUAGAGGGUAAAUGUUCAGUUUUUAAAACUUCGCAUUUAAGGGGCCGGGAUGUUAUCUCUAGUUUAGAGAUAUUUUGUAUUAUUUACAUCAAUGGGCAUUGUGACGUCAGAAGCGAGAGUUUAUUCGUAUUUCUGAGCAGGGCCGUUGAGGGCGAAGUUGUUUUGGUUCAGGAGCUGAAACACGUUUGUCAAGUCGUGUUGUUUGGUACUGAAGUUCACCGUUAUUUGCCAGUUUACACACAAGCCCAAUGUUGUUGAACCGCAUUCAUCGUUUGGUAUCAGCACAAAGGGUGUCACUGAGUCUUUUAUACGUCAACGGUGGGACUUUAGUAAAGUGUUAGAGUUAUCGUCAUCAACACCA